AAGGGCACCACAAGAACGCGUGGAGCAUGUGGCUUAAUUUGACUCAACGCGGGAAAUCUUACCGGGUCCGGACACACUGAGGAUUGACAGGUUCUUUUUAAUAUAGUGACUUAUGUUUAUUUUAUUAAUAAAAUAUGCUAGUCCUUUCAUGAUUGUGUGAUAGGUGGUGCAUGGCCGUUCUUAGUUCGUGGAGUGAUCUGUCUGCUUAAUUGCGUUUCACAAGCGGUAUAAAACAAGUUGGAUCGUAUCUUGAUAACUGCACUUGUUGUAUGUUUUUCAAAUGCACCUUCUUUAAAAAAACCGCGAAGGCAACGAACGUGACCGCAUCCCGUUGUUGCCUCUCUAACCAUAAUACUUGCAUGUGUUUUAGCUUUUUUACUAAGGCGAGCCUGCAAUGUAUAGUAGAGGGAAACUACGGGGACUGCUGAUUUCUUUUCAAAACAGAGGAAGGAUGCGGCAAUAACAGGUCUGUGAUGCCCUUAGAUGUUCCGGGCUGCACACGUGCUACAAUGAUUAGUGCAGUAAGAAUCUUCAACAGCUUAGAAACGUUAGUUUGCGAACAGUUGCAUUCGUGCUUCUGUGAGCCUUUCGUUUUACCUCGCCUACUUCGAAAGUAAGCAGGUAAUCAAUUCGAAGUACUGAUUUCCAUUUCAAGCGCAUGUAUGAAUACAUUUUAUUCGCAUNCGUGUGUUUAAAUUGUAUUUUGCCUUAAUUUUUAUUUCUUGGUGGGGACAGACCCUUGUUAAUUAUUGGUCUCGUUUUCAACUAGGAAUGCCUUGUACGGGUCUUUGGUUCAACAAACCACCCGGAAUAUGUCCCUGCCCUUUGUACACACCGCCCGUC
rnacentral:rRNA from 1 species